rnacentral:rRNA from 1 species
UCCUUCUUUCCCCCUCUUUUUCCUUCCUCAUUUUUCUUAAAGAGCGUGUAGGCGGCCUUACAGGUCAGCUGUGAAAACUCGAGGCUCAACCUCGAGACGUCGGUUGAAACCGUAUGGCUAGAGUCCGGAAGAGGAGAGUGGAAUUCCCGGUGUAGCGGUGAAAUGCGCAGAUAUCGGGAAGAACACCCGUGGCGAAGGCGGCUCUCUGGGACGGUACUGACGCUGAGACGCGAAAGCGUGGGGAGCGAACAGG